rnacentral:lncRNA from 1 species
CCCCCAACCAUAUAGCAAUUACAUCUAGAUUUAAAUCAGAUUAAAGAAUAAAAGAGAUUAAGGUUUACUUACUUUGAUAGGAAAGAGAACCUUAGGCAGCAACCUCCUUUACUUCUUUUCCUCUUCUUCUCUAUUUUCCUGUUUUCUACCUUCAACCCACUCGCACACACAAACACUCACACACACGGACACACACACACACUCACAGAGAGGCAAAAAAGAGGGAGAAAGAGAAAGAAUAUAGGAGAUUCACACACAAACACUCACACAUUGAGGGAGAUGGGAGGAGGGAAGAAAGCAAGAGAGAGAGUGUGUGAUAACCCAGCCCACUAAGCCCA